rnacentral:rRNA from 1 species
UACGUAGGGACCAAGCGUUGUUCGGAUUUACUGGGCGUAAAGGGCGCGUAGGCGGCGCGGUAAGUCACUUGUGAAAUCUCUGAGCUUAACUCGGAAAGGUCAACUGAUACUGUGCGACUAGAGUGCAGAAGGGGCAACUGGAAUUCUCGGUGUAGCGGUGAAAUGCGUAGAUAUCGAGAGGAACACCUGCGGCGAAGGCGGGUUGCUGGGCUGACACUGACGCUGAUGCGCGAAAGCCAGGGGAGCGAACGGG